GUCCACGCCCUAAACUAUGUACGCUGAGUUAGAGCGGCUCUGACGCCGUUCGGACUGUAGAGAAAUUGAUAAGCGUACCGCCUGGGGAGUACGGUCGCAAGGCUAAAACUCAAAGAAAUUGACGGGGGCUCACACAAGCGGUGGAGCAUGUGGCUCAAUUCGAAGCAACGCGCAGAACCUUACCUGGGUUUGACAUACAUGGAUUAGCUGGUGGAAACAUUAGUGAGGCCCGCAAGGGUACAACAUUAACAGGUGCUGCAUGGCUGUCGU
rnacentral:rRNA from 1 species